rnacentral:tRNA from 1 species
GCUUCCUUGGCCAAGUGGUAAGGCGCCUCACUCGUAAUGAGAAGAUCGUUGGUUCAAUCCCGACAGGAAGCA